GUCCGCCCAGGGUUAGUCGGGACCUAAGCCGAGGCCGAAAGGCGUAGGUGAUGGACAAUCGGUUGAUAUUCCGAUACCGCCUAUUUACGUUUGAGAGAUGGGGUGACGCAGUAGGAUAAGAUGUGCGCACUAUUGGAUGUGCGUCUAAGCAUUUAGGCAUGCUUGAUAGGUAAAUCCGUCGAGCUAAGCUGAGGUGUAAUGGGGAGC
rnacentral:rRNA from 1 species